rnacentral:rRNA from 1 species
AGAUUAAGUUAUUAAGGGCGCACGGUGGAUGCCUUGGCACUAGAAGCCGAUGAAGGACGUUACUAACGACGAUAUGCUUUGGGGAGCUGUAAGUAAGCUUUGAUCCAGAGAUUUCCGAAUGGGGAAACCCAGCAUGAGUUAUGUCAUGUUAUCGAUAUGUGAAUACAUAGCAUAUCAGAAGGCACACCCGGAGAACUGAAACAUCUUAGUACCCGGAGGAAGAGAAAGAAAAUUCGAUUCCCUUAGUAGCGGCGAGCGAAACGGGAAGAGCCCAAACCAACAAGCUUGCUUGUUGGGGUUGUAGGACACUCUAUACGGAGUUACAAAGGACGACAUUAGACGAAUCAUCUGGAAAGAUGAAUCAAAGAAGGUAAUAAUCCUGUAGUCGAAAAUGUUGUCUCUCUUGAGUGGAUCCUGAGUACGACGGAGCACGUGAAAUUCCGUCGGAAUCUGGGAGGACCAUCUCCUAAGGCUAAAUACUCUCUAGUGACCGAUAGUGAACCAGUACCGUGAGGGAAAGGUGAAAAGCACCCCGGAAGGGGAGUGAAAUAGAACCUGAAACCGUGUGCUUACAAGUAGUCAGAGCCCGUUAAUGGGUGAUGGCGUGCCUUUUGUAGAAUGAACCGGCGAGUUACGAUUUGAUGCAAGGUUAAGCAGUAAAUGUGGAGCCGUAGCGAAAGCGAGUCUGAAUAGGGCGUUUAGUAUUUGGUCGUAGACCCGAAACCAGGUGAUCUACCCUUGGUCAGGUUGAAGUUCAGGUAACACUGAAUGGAGGACCGAACCGACUUACGUUGAAAAGUGAGCGGAUGAACUGAGGGUAGCGGAGAAAUUCCAAUCGAACCUGGAGAUAGCUGGUUCUCUCCGAAAUAGCUUUAGGGCUAGCCUCAAGUGAUGAUUAUUGGAGGUAGAGCACUGUUUGGACGAGGGGCCCCUCUCGGGUUACCGAAUUCAGACAAACUCCGAAUGCCAAUUAAUUUAACUUGGGAGUCAGAACAUGGGUGAUAAGGUCCGUGUUCGAAAGGGAAACAGCCCAGACCACCAGCUAAGGUCCCAAAAUAUAUGUUAAGUGGAAAAGGAUGUGGCGUUGCCCAGACAACUAGGAUGUUGGCUUAGAAGCAGCCAUCAUUUAAAGAGUGCGUAAUAGCUCACUAGUCGAGUGACACUGCGCCGAAAAUGUACCGGGGCUAAACAUAUUACCGAAGCUGUGGAUUGUCCUUUGGACAAUGGUAGGAGAGCGUUCUAAGGGCGUUGAAGCAUGAUCGUAAGGACAUGUGGAGCGCUUAGAAGUGAGAAUGCCGGUGUGAGUAGCGAAAGACGGGUGAGAAUCCCGUCCACCGAUUGACUAAGGUUUCCAGAGGAAGGCUCGUCCGCUCUGGGUUAGUCGGGUCCUAAGCUGAGGCCGACAGGCGUAGGCGAUGGAUAACAGGUUGAUAUUCCUGUACCACCUAUAAUCGUUUUAAUCGAUGGGGGGACGCAGUAGGAUAGGCGAAGCGUGCGAUUGGAUUGCACGUCUAAGCAGUAAGGCUGAGUAUUAGGCAAAUCCGGUACUCGUUAAGGCUGAGCUGUGAUGGGGAGAAGACAUUGUGUCUUCGAGUCGUUGAUUUCACACUGCCGAGAAAAGCCUCUAGAUAGAAAAUAGGUGCCCGUACCGCAAACCGACACAGGUAGUCAAGAUGAGAAUUCUAAGGUGAGCGAGCGAACUCUCGUUAAGGAACUCGGCAAAAUGACCCCGUAACUUCGGGAGAAGGGGUGCUCUUUAGGGUUAACGCCCAGAAGAGCCGCAGUGAAUAGGCCCAAGCGACUGUUUAUCAAAAACACAGGUCUCUGCUAAACCGUAAGGUGAUGUAUAGGGGCUGACGCCUGCCCGGUGCUGGAAGGUUAAGAGGAGUGGUUAGCUUCUGCGAAGCUACGAAUCGAAGCCCCAGUAAACGGCGGCCGUAACUAUAACGGUCCUAAGGUAGCGAAAUUCCUUGUCGGGUAAGUUCCGACCCGCACGAAAGGCGUAACGAUUUGGGCACUGUCUCAACGAGAGACUCGGUGAAAUCAUAGUACCUGUGAAGAUGCAGGUUACCCGCGACAGGACGGAAAGACCCCGUGGAGCUUUACUGUAGCCUGAUAUUGAAAUUCGGCACAGCUUGUACAGGAUAGGUAGGAGCCUUUGAAACGUGAGCGCUAGCUUACGUGGAGGCGCUGGUGGGAUACUACCCUAGCUGUGUUGGCUUUCUAACCCGCACCACUUAUCGUGGUGGGAGACAGUGUCAGGCGGGCAGUUUGACUGGGGCGGUCGCCUCCUAAAAGGUAACGGAGGCGCUCAAAGGUUCCCUCAGAAUGGUUGGAAAUCAUUCAUAGAGUGUAAAGGCAUAAGGGAGCUUGACUGCGAGACCUACAAGUCGAGCAGGGUCGAAAGACGGACUUAGUGAUCCGGUGGUUCCGCAUGGAAGGGCCAUCGCUCAACGGAUAAAAGCUACCCCGGGGAUAACAGGCUUAUCUCCCCCAAGAGUUCACAUCGACGGGGAGGUUUGGCACCUCGAUGUCGGCUCAUCGCAUCCUGGGGCUGUAGUCGGUCCCAAGGGUUGGGCUGUUCGCCCAUUAAAGCGGUACGCGAGCUGGGUUCAGAACGUCGUGAGACAGUUCGGUCCCUAUCCGUCGUGGGCGUAGGAAAUUUGAGAGGAGCUGUCCUUAGUACGAGAGGACCGGGAUGGACAUACCUCUGGUGUACCAGUUGUCGUGCCAACGGCAUAGCUGGGUAGCUAUGUGUGGACGGGAUAAGUGCUGAAAGCAUCUAAGCAUGAAGCCCCCCUCAAGAUGAGAUUUCCCAACUUCGGUUAUAAGAUCCCUCAAAGAUGAUGAGGUUAAUAGGUUCGAGGUGGAAG